UCUAAUAUGGCAGAUUAGUGCAAUGGAUUUAAGCUUCAUAUAUAAAGAAUAACUUUUAUUAGAA
rnacentral:tRNA from 1 species